AAAUUGAAGAGUUUGAUCAUGGCUCAGAUUGAACGCUGGCGGCAGGCCUAACACAUGCAAGUCGAACGGUAGCACAGAGAGCUUGCUCUCGGGUGACGAGUGGCGGACGGGUGAGUAAUGUCUGGGAAACUGCCUGAUGGAGGGGGAUAACUACUGGAAACGGUAGCUAAUACCGCAUAACGUCGCAAGACCAAAGAGGGGGACCUUCGGGCCUCUUGCCAUCAGAUGUGCCCAGAUGGGAUUAGCUAGUAGGUGGGGUAAUGGCUCACC
rnacentral:rRNA from 1 species